rnacentral:lncRNA from 1 species
AAUGUUUAAGAAUAUUACAAGGAAUUGCAAAUUUGUAACCAUCACAUGGAGCGAAACGAUAGAUGUAUGUUUAUUAAGUGACAAAAUGAUGAAGAAGCAAUGUGAACAGAUGCCGGGAUAUUUCCGAUGGGUAGUAAUUGGGACAUGGGUAACAAGUGAAACAAUUAAUGAAUUAAAAGGAUACUGUUUAGUUACAAAUUCAACACACCCAUGCUCUAAAGUUCCGGCUUCAGUAAAACGAGAAAAACAAGAAGAGGUCUGUCAAAAUAUUACCAGUUCUACAACCAUGGAAGAAUGGCAAACAAUUUGGGGACCCAGCCUGCUAGAGACAUAUAGUUAUAUUGGAAAGGUACAGUGGUGCAUUCACUGGAAGGGGAAAAAGAAUCAAACUUAUUCUACAGGAAAUAGAGGGAAUCAUAAUUGGAGGACAGAAACACAUACAAAAGAGGAUUGGAAUUGUACCCGAAUAUAUACAUGUGAUACCCCAGACGAUGAAAUAGGAUUAAUACCAGUCAGGGCCCUCCUGCAGUUAGGAUGUGAGUGUCGAGGAUAUAACCAUACUAUUAAAGGACAUGUGAAAAACAUUGAUUGUCACACUACUACAGUUAGAAGUCCCGGAAACCUAGUAUGGGUCAUGGGACAUGGUCAAUGGACCACCCACAUGCCACUAGACGGUCCGGUUGUACCUGUCACACUAGGGAUACCUACUCUUUGUCCACUCUGGAGAAAAGAGAAGUUAACACCAGCAGAGAUGCGACCACGGGAGAAAAGAGAAGUUAGUAAUGACAUUAAUGACCUGGAACUAACAGAUUGGCAUGAGCCAUCAGCAGGAGUUAAAUUCGGAUGGGCACUAGAAUCUUUGUUUGCCCCAAUUUCAACAUAUCGAAAUAGAGAAAUGUUGUUCAAAUUGAUGAGCCAGACCGAAAGGUUAGCAGCAGUCACUAAGAAAGGAUUUAAAGAUCUAAAUUUACAAUUACAAGCCACCUCUAGAAUGACCAUACAAAACCGCAUGGCAUUAGACCUGAUAUUACUCAAAGAACAUGGAGUUUGCGGUUACCUGCAUGCAAAGGAUGAGCAUUGUUGUGUACACAUCCCAAAUGUCACUCAAGAAGUAGAGAAAGAUAUUAAUCAAUUAGAACAAAUUGACGAGAAUGUUCAUAAACUGCAGAAAGAAGCGGAACACAAUUGGAUAGGACAAUUAUUCAGCUCCCUAGGUCUCCAUGUGUCAGGAUGGAUAUCUUCUGUUAUCCAGUACGGAAUAUUGAUUGUAAUAAUUGUUGUCAUAGCCAUAACUGUUUACAAGUGUCUUUUAGGAAUGAUUGUAAAAGAAGGUCAACAUACGAGACGCAUCAUGAAAGCUAUAACAAGAAAAGAAGUAAUCUCACCGCAAAAUGGAUCACCUCCUAUCCAUCAAGAAACUGCAACCUGAAGAUUGCUGUAUUUGAGCAUCCUUGCAAGCAAAGCCUGAAGAAUGCUCAAAAGGGGGGACUGUUGCAAAGCAGUUUAAAUUUAGUAGUAGAAUGGCUAAGGCUUAAGUAAGAGGGUAGGCCUAGAAAGCAACACUUUACAGUAGUGAGUUAAGCAGCAGCCUUGUUCGUGGG